GACGAACGCUGGCGGCGUGCUUAACACAUGCAAGUCGUACGGUAAGGCCCUUUCGGGGGUCCACGAGUGGCGAACGGGUGAGUAACACGUGAGUAACCUGCCCACAACUUUGGGAUAACGCUAGGAAACUGGUGCUAAUACUGGAUAUGUGCUCCUGCUGCAUGGUGGGGGUUGGAAAGCUCCGGCGGUUGUGGAUGGACUCGCGGCCUAUCAGCUUGUUGGUGGGGUAGUGGCCUACCAAGGCGGCGACGGGUAGCCGGCCUGAGAGGGUGACCGGCCACAUUGGGACUGAGAUACGGCACAGACUCCUACGGGAGGCAGCAGUGGGGAAUAUUGAACAAUGGGCGCAAGCCUGAUGCAGCAACGCCGCGUGCGGGAUGACGGCCUUCGGGUUGUAAACCGCUUUCAGCAGGGACGAAACUUUUUGUGACGGUACCUGCAGAAGAAGCACCGGCUAACUACGUG
rnacentral:rRNA from 1 species